rnacentral:lncRNA from 1 species
UGUAUCGUUUGCACAAAAAACCCAAAAAAUAAAAAUAAAAUAAUAAUAAAUAAAUAAAUAGGUUGUAGUUGAGUUUCAGAUCUCAAAAGAAACCCUGAAAGACGGGUAUUAUCUUUGAAGUGAAUGGUACCAAAGUUAUGGACAAAAUAUAAAGCGCAGCUUAACGAAAGAAAAAUUCUUUUGAUGCAUAAACACAGAAUACAAAAGUUCAUAAUAUGAUAUCACAAAAGCCUUGAGAUAAAUGUUCAAACAAAUCAGAGGAAAAUGAUACUAAUAAUAAAUAAAUAAAUAGGUUGUAGUUGAGUUUCAGAUCUCAAAAGAAACCCUGAAAGACGGGUAUUAUCUUUGAAGUGAAUGGUACCAAAGUUAUGGACAAAAUAUAAAGCGCAGCUUAACGAAAGAAAAAUUCUUUUGAUGCAUAAACACAGAAUACAAAAGUUCAUAAUAUGAUAUCACAAAAGCCUUGAGAUAAAUGUUCAAACAAAUCAGAGGAAAAUGAUAAAAACGGAAACCUAAAAUAAGCUCUAUUUGAUUGUAACUCAUGAGUAAAUUGUAUUAGAAAUAGUAUGGAAACACAUAACAAAAUAUAACAUCACAACAAAGAAAGUGAACACAGCAACCAAACAUAUUUAUCUGCAAAAAAAAUAAAAAAUAAAAUACCCUAAAAUUUCAUUUGGACAAAAAAGAGAGAACGAGAACGAAGAGAAAUAAAACAAGAGGAAAUUCUUUUCUUUGUUUUAGUCUUGUGCAAAAGAUAAACAAGAAUAACAAGGUCACGACUUGUGUGUUAACUUCAAAUAUCAUUUUCUUAAACUCUCCACUCAUCCAGUUUUCCCUUUUCUUUUGGUAAAUUGAAGUGAGUCUUUUCUUUUAUAUGCAUUUGUUCAUAUCUCACUCCGCCAAAGAUACAAAAGAGUAAUUGACUCGAUAUAUUUGCUAAUAAAAUGCAGUGAAUUUUAUGUGUAUGCAAAAAAUAAGUGAAAAUACAUAUCACAGACCCAUAAUCAAGAAACCUUACAAAGCUUAGUUUGAUUAUUUGUAUUAACUAUUAAUCUAUAGCAUAUCCAUUAACCACGAAAAUUAAAUCAGUAAUAUUCACCAAAAAUACACAUAUAAAUUCUCAGAUUAAGGUGAGAAAAAUCAAGAAACUAAAAUUAACAAGAAUUAAACCAAAAAUAACAUGGGGUGGAUCUUUCUUUCCUUUCUUCGUUUAUGCUUCCCCAAAUCAUGCGAAUAAUUGAGAAAUCAAAACAGUGUUAUUCGCCAAAGUACGCUUAAAAAAGGAAUUCUGACUAAGAAAUAUCAAGUCAAUCAAAGUCAAAUUAACAAUAAUUUUCUAAAAUUUUGCAGAAUUCCAACAAAAAUUCUGGUUUCAAUUUCAUGCUUCCCUAACUCAUUCGCAUUACUAUAAUCCCCCAAUUAAUAGAAUCAAGAACAUAAACCCACGGACAUAAAUACGCGUGUAAAAAUAAGAAAUCAAUUGAAAACAAUUUAGAGUAAGUUCAAACAUUAAAAAAAUUUCAAAAGAUCUGAGCGUAAGAUACCA